rnacentral:tRNA from 1 species
AGGAUAAUAGUUAAAAUUUAUAACAUUUAAUUUGCUUUUAAAAAUUAUUUAAAAUUUAUCUUA